rnacentral:rRNA from 1 species
CCUACGGGAGGCUGCAGUCGAGAAUCAUUCACAAUGGGGGAAACCCUGAUGGUGCGACGCCGCGUGGGGGAAUGAAGGUCUUCGGAUUGUAAACCCCUGUCAUGUGGGAGCAAAUUAAAAAGAUAGUACCACAAGAGGAAGAGACGGCUAACUCUGUGCCAGCAGCCGCGGUAAUACAGAGGUCGCAAGCGUUGUUCGGAAUCACUGGGCGUAAAGCGUGCGUAGGCUGUUUCGUAAGUCGUGUGUGAAAGUCGCGGGCGUAACCCGCGGACGGCACAUGAUACUGCGAGACUAGAGUAAUGGAGGGGGAACCGGAAUUCCCGGUGUAGCAGUGAAAUGCGUAGAUAUCGAGAGGAACACUCGUGGCGAAGGCGGGUUCCUGGACAUUAACUGACGCUGAGGCACGAAGGCCAGGGGAGCGAAAGGGAUUAGAUACCCCAGUAGUC